UUUAUAUGCUUUUUUAUUCCUAUGGACAAGGUUUCAAUUCUAAAAAACUCCUAAAUAACAUACAUGGAUUCUAUUUACCUCUCUGACCACGGCCGGGGUGGUUACCGGCGACGAAGGACUCGAAUCAACAAGGGUUUUUUAUUAGUAGCAGCAACGGCGGUCGUGGGCUAGUGAGCGGUGGCUUCACAUGUGAGCUGGGAUGGUCGUGAAGCAGGGCACUCGGGGAGCAUGCAUGGCGUGGGUGAUGGGGGAACCGAGCUGCUCGGUCAGAGUGCUAGCGUGGUGUGCGUGACAGCCCCGAGGGCUUCACGUGGGGGCACUCGGUUGAGGUGUUUCAAAACGGAUCUUGUAAUUGGGUCAUUUCUGGGCCUGUAACUGGGUCUUACUUGGGCUUGUAAUUAAAUUGGUUUGCAAUUGGGCUUUAAGCAUUUAAUCUGGAUUUGAA